UCCUGCAGGUAUCAGAACCGAGUUUGGGACUCAGGUGGUUUCAGAGACUGAACCGUGGUGAACUGAGACUCGUUCAGUUCCUGUGGUUCUGUCUGGCUCCGGUCCAGCUGUUAGCAUGUCGUCAGCCCUGUUUGUCUGCAGGAACAGAAAAACUGUUUCCAGAACUACGAGUCGGAGAGAAGAACCGUUUCAUCCGUUCAUCAGGAGCAAGCAGCGACAUGGAGCAUCCAACCCAUCGCCUGCAGGAAAAUCUCCUGGAAGGACGACAUCCUUCCAGAACCUCUGCGGCUGGACCCGGCUCCGAGCCACAGAGGGGAGGGUUUCCAGGAACCAACAGAAAGUAGAACAUCUUUAUGACGUUGGAAGAAAACAAUUCAACAUUUUUAAAAAUAAAAAUCUGAAAAGUG